rnacentral:rRNA from 1 species
ACGAACGCUGGCGGCGUGCUUAACACCUGCCAGUCGAACGGAAAGGCCCUGCUUUUGUGGGGUGCUCGAGUGGCGAACGGGUGAGUAACACGUGAGUAACCUGCCCUUGACUUUGGGAUAACUUCAGGAAACUGGGGCUAAUACCGGAUAGGAGCUCCUGCUGCAUGGUGGGGGUUGGAAAGUUUCGGCGGUUGGGGAUGGACUCGCGGCUUAUCAGCUUGUUGGUGGGGUAGUGGCUUACCAAGGCUUUGACGGGUAGCCGGCCUGAGAGGGUGACCGGCCACAUUGGGACUGAGAGACGGCCCAGACUCCUACGGGAGGCAGCAGUGGGGAAUAUUGCACAAUGGGCGGAAGCCUGAUGCAGCAACGCCGCGUGCGGGAUGACGGCCUUCGGGUUGUAAACCGCUUUCGCCUGUGACGAAGCGUGAGUGACGGUAAUGGGUAAAGAAGCACCGGCUAACUACGU